GCAAGUCGAGCGGUAACAGAGAGGUGCUUGCACCUUUGCUGACGAGCGGCGGACGGGUGAGUAAUGCUUGGGAACAUGCCUUGAGGUGGGGGACAACAGUUGGAAACGACUGCUAAUACCGCAUAAUGUCUACGGACCAAAGGGGGCUUCGGCUCUCGCCUUUAGAUUGGCCCAAGUGGGAUUAGCUAGUUGGUGAGGUAAUGGCUCACCAAGGCGACGAUCCCUAGCUGGUUUGAGAGGAUGAUCAGCCACACUGGGACUGAGACACGGCCCAGACUCCUACGGGAGGCAGCAGUGGGGAAUAUUGCACAAUGGGCGCAAGCCUGAUGCAGCCAUGCCGCGUGUGUGAAGAAGGCCUUCGGGUUGUAAAGCACUUUCAGUCAGGAGGAAAGGUUAGUAGUUAAUACCUGCUAGCUGUGACGUUACUGACAGAAGAAGCACCGGCUAACUCCGUGCCAGCAGCCGCGGUAAUACGGAGGGUGCGAGCGUUAAUCGGAAUUACUGGGCGUAAAGCGUACGCAGGCGGUUUGUUAAGCGAGAUGUGAAAGCCCCGGGCUCAACCUGGGAACUGCAUUUCGAACUGGCAAACUAGAGUGUGAUAGAGGGUGGUAGAAUUUCAGGUGUAGCGGUGAAAUGCGUAGAGAUCUGAA
rnacentral:rRNA from 1 species